CUUUCUUUGCCCUUUCCAUUUUGCUCUGUUUUCUCCUUCCCUCUCUGCAAACCUGAAAUAUUCCCUCUCUGCAAAAGCACACAGAAAUUGACGGUUCCAACUUUUGCUUCUUCAUUGCAAUUUGUGAAGGCUCAAGUAUUUCUAUCUUUCUCAACUGGUAUUUUAAGGAUUAGAUCAAUGGACUCUUGUUCAAACGGGCCAGCUACUGCUCUCAUUGAAUCACAAUCUGU